CCCAGCAAAGCCAGGGUAGCCUCACCUCCUAGGCUGAGAGAUCUUGCUUUUCUCUACAAAUGCCCAGGAGCCUCUCCUCCAAGGGCUUUCGGCACCAUGGGCUCUGUGAGCCUGUGCCCCCUUAAAGUUCUCUGCGGGCAGGGUCACCCCGGGGCUGAGGGAGGAAGCCAUUGCUUUUGCCCAGACCUAAGAUCUCCUCAGUCUCCUUCACGGCCGAGAGCUUCAUGCUGACAAGGACUAAUGCGGGGCACAUUUCUACACACCGCUGGUCUACAAACUCCUUCGAUCCCCAUGACAACCGAGUGAGAAAGACCUUGUUGUUAUUAUUAUCAUGCCUAUUUUACUGACCAAGAAACUGAGACACAGAGAGACUAAGUGACCUGAUCAAGAUCUUCAGAUAGUUGACGGCAGCACUAGAAUAUGAGGCACUUUGAGAUUCCCCGGGUCAACAGAGAGCAUUGCAUGCUGAAACCUCCGAAGCUAGCUGUGUGACCCUGCACUGGUUAAGUCCCCUCUCUGAGCUGCAGUUUUCCCCUCGGUGUGCCCCCGUGGUGGCAUGGCUGGCGUGGAGGUGUGGCUGGCGCGGCUGGGGACUUGUCCGCCGCACCCCACCUGAGCUACCACCUCACACGUCACAGAGGCUGCGCAGAGUCUGAUCCACAGCUUCGCCCUGUGUUGCGGAAUUUUGACAUUUGACAACAGGCUGGGGAUGGUCAAAUGCUGCACAUUUCACAAAGAAGACUGGCUUUGGAGCUGCCCCUGGAAGAUGACCUGUAAGCCCUUGGAACCACCUGCGUGAGAAGAGUGUCUUUGGAUACUUGAAGCCUUGGGCCCUGUUGGACAGUUUAUGCAAACUGUGAUUUGUGGUGGGGAUUCUGGGCCCUCCUCAGUCCGUGGGACUUCUGGACAGGCUGGAGACGGGGUUAUGAGGGGCAGUCACAAAGUCCUGACGUGACUGACCCCCAGUAAAAGCUACAGACACCAAGGCUUCGUGGAGCCUCUCUGGCUGAGAGUAGUCUGUGUGAGUUGUCACACGUCACUGCCAGGAGAAUUAAGUGUCGUCUCCAUGAUCCCACUGGGAGGUAUGACUGAAAGCCAGUGCCUGGGCUCUGCCUGGGCAGGUUUUCCCCUUUGCUGGUUUAAUCUGUAUCUUUUCACAUAACAAACAUUAACUGUGAUGAUACCAGCUUUUCUGAGUUCUGGGAGCCCUUCUAGAAAAUCAUCAGACCUGAGAGUGGUCUUGGGAAUCCCUGACACAUCUUCCCAAUCCUUGACUUCUGCUUCUUCCAGAAUGAACCAGAAGACUCUUCUGUCUGUCUCUUGCAAAUUCAGAGCAUUUGUAUUUCAUACUCUCAGUAGUUUAUCAAGAAAUUUCUUUCAAGUAAAUCCAGUGUUCCCUAUGGAAGUGAUGUUGGUAAAAACAAUUUUCUCUAGCUUAUCUCCUUUUGCAAACAUGCCUAAGAAGUAUGUGUGUGUGUGUGUGUGUGUGUGUGUGCAUGUAUGUGUGUCUGCAUACACAGACACAUACACACAUACUCAUACACCAGAACCAGGACUAGGAAUUACUUUACUGCCAGUAUCUAGGGACUAUUUCCAAUUACUGUAAGGCCAGUGAAAGAAAGAAAGAAAAAAAAACACACAGUGGGCAGGGCACCUCGGAUUACCUCUCUGCAAACAGUGUGAGGUCUCUUUAUCCCCCUCACGGUAACUAAUGGCUGCAUUGGUCUCAUCACACACUUGUAUCAUAAUUUUCUAACCAGUCCUCUCUUGCUGAAUAAUUGCAUUUCCAACAUUUUUCCUUUUCUAUAUAAAGCAUCAUUGAAUAUUCUUGUACUAGUAAUCAUUAGGCUCUGCUAUAAUUAUUUCCUUAGCAUCAAUUUCUACACAUGGGAUUUCUGAAUUAGAGAGCACAGACGUUUUUUAAGAUCUCUGAUAGAGUACACCUUUUGGGGAUUUGUAUCAGUUAAAAAUUCCACCAGUUUUAUGUAAACAUGAUCAUU